rnacentral:rRNA from 1 species
CUACUGGGGUUUCUAAUCCUGUUUGAUCCCCACGCUUUCGUGCCUCAGUGUCAAUACAAGCAUAGUGAACUGCCUUCGCAAUCGGUGUUCUAAUACAUAUCUAAGCAUUUCACCGCUACAUGUAUUAUUCCAUCCACCUCUACUUGAUUCAAGUUAAGCAGUAUCAAUGGCAGUUCCGGAGUUGAGCUCCGGGCUUUCACCACUGACUUACAAAACCACCUACGCACCCUUUAAACCCAGUGAAUCCGGAUAACGCUUGCACCCUCCGUAUUACCGCGGCUGCUGGCAC